rnacentral:lncRNA from 1 species
CGCGCGAUCCUCCAAAAUCCAUCGCCCCAGCUGAUCCUGCUCGCUCAGCCCCCUUGGCAGCGCAACUUGGGGGGGGGGGGGGGGGGAGGGAUGUGGGGAAAAGGGAGACAUUUGUCCCGAAUCACGAAUUUUCAUGGCUCGGAAAGAAAAAGGUAAAACUCAUGUCUAGCUCAAUUAAUAAACAUGGUAAUUUCACACCCAAAAGGAGGACAUUAUUUCAUGUUAGUGCUAUCGGCUCCAUCACAAAGGGUCACAGCGCAGCUGUGGCGAGCCCGGGGUUAUUAUGCAGCCUGAUGAUAGGAUCCCGCUUGCCAUCCCGGCUCCUUCCUCGGGGCUACCAAUAGCCCCCGGCAGGGCUCGUGCCACCUCAUGAUAAAGGACUUACCCGAUGCGUGAGGAAAUGGAGCAGCUUUCAGAUGAGAGACCCAAACAAGCCCCCGAAGUUGUUUGCAAGCCCCCGAGCGCAAAGCGGAGCUGGGAGGGUUCCCUGCUCAGCCAGCCCCCCCGGAGCACGGGAUUUCUGGUGUCAGGAACCGCGUCCAGGAGCCGUGAGGCGACACAUUAACUGCGAUCCCAUAAUCUCUUAAUCACAUUACGUUUUAAGUGAGCAUGUGUAAUUUCACCCAUCAAUGAUUUAUUUAAGCAUCGGAGCACAAUUACUCGUCUCAUAUGCAACCGCCGGCCGGGGGAGUGUUGUUUGCUCGAAAUAAAAUCUGGGGUCGGGGGGGGACUGCCCCUACAUCUGUGCUGAGACCCCCGCAGCCAGGAGCUGCCGCGGCUGAGAGAGGGAUGUUCGCCCCCUUUCUCCCCUCUCUUAAAAAGCGAAGCCCCCCGAUACACUCCUCAGCAGGAGGUCUGCUAGCGGCCGUGGGACGCGCCCCUACUGCACCCUUUUGGCUGAAGCAGGUGCAAGCCGCAGGGGGACACACUGAUCUUCACGCCUGGCCGACCCCAAACUUCACGACGGCAACAGACCUAAUCCGUUCCCCCGGAGGGGCAGGGGGACACCCCGCCCGUCACCGUCGCAUCGCGCCUAAGGGCCACGGACGUCGCUUGUCCCUGCAGAGAUGGGGCGGAGGGAGGCCCCGAGCCCCCCGCGCCAGAGACAGCAUCCCCCAGCACAGGCUAGAAGUAUUAUUACUAUUAUAUAGUAUUAUUAUAAUUUUUUCCCCGCAGAUUGCAGCGCUGCGGGCCGGAGGGAAAGGCGCCCCGCAAACACGGCGGGGCUGCGGGGGGCUGAAACCUUCCCUAAGCCGGGCUGGGCUUUCCCAGAUUUCUGUUCCACAUGUACCGGUAUUUUUGUUAAACCGUUGA